AGAGUUUGAUCCUGGCUCAGGAUGAACGCUAGCGGCAGGCCUAAUACAUGCAAGUCGAACGGGAUCCGGGGGUAGCUUGCUACCUUCGGUGAGAGUGGCGCACGGGUGCGUAACGCGUGAGCAACCUGCCCGUCCCAGGGGGAUAGCCCCUCGAAAGAGGGAUUAACACCGCAUGACGCUGGAGGAUGGCAUCAUCUUCCAGCCAAAUAUUCAUAGGGGACGGAUGGGCUCGCGUGGCAUUAGCUAGUUGGUAAGGUAACGGCUUACCAAGGCAACGAUGCCUAGGGGCUCUGAGAGGAGAAUCCCCCACACUGGUACUGAGACACGGACCAGACUCCUACGGGAGGCAGCAGUAAGGAAUAUUGGUCAAUGGGCGCAAGCCUGAACCAGCCAUGCCGCGUGCAGGAAGACGGCCCUACGGAUUGUAAACUGCUUUUGUUAGGGAACAAACCCCCCGACGUGUCGGGGGCUGAGUGUACCUAAAGAAUAAGGAUCGGCUAACUCCGUGCCAGCAGCCGCGGUAAUAC
rnacentral:rRNA from 1 species